rnacentral:tRNA from 1 species
GCUCGCAUAGCUCAGCUGGAUAGAGCAACGGUUUCCUAAACCGUAGGCCGCAGGUUCGAAUCCUGCUGUGGGCACCA